AUAAUAAACAGUGGGAGUUUACGGAUGUAAGCUGAGAGUACGACUAAUCCGUCGUUGACCGUUUGAACCUGUUGGAUCAUGCCAGCGUAGGGAGUGUAGUAGGACGAGUAG
rnacentral:ncRNA from 1 species